UUGUUGUAGCUCAAAAAGGAGCGAGAGCAUUUGGAACAGGAACUGGAGAAAGCCGAGAUCGAGCGAUCGACGUAUGUUUCAGAAGUCCGAGAGCUCAAAGAUCUCUUGACUGAAUUGCAGAAAAAACUUGAUGAUUCUUAUUCUGAAGCAGUAAGGCAGAACGAAGAGUUAAAUGUGCUGAAAACCCAGUUGAACGAGACGGUGUCCAAGCUUAAAACUGAUCAGAACGAGAGGCAGAACGUAGCGGUUGACUUGCCGAAGGUGAGCGCUUCCCUUGAAACGAAACUUGAUUCGGCCUUGUAUGAAGUUAGUCGGGGUUCCCAA